rnacentral:snRNA from 1 species
AGAUGCAAGAUAUGAAGACACAUCAGUGUCCCAGUCAGUGUUUGCUCUGAUCCCCAUAAGUAUGCGUUGUCAGCUGAUCUUGCUGGCUAUGCGGGUGUCCCCUUCCUCCUUCACCAUCCCAUGUGCAUCUCUCUGGAAGCUGCACACUUGGUCAGAAAGGGCAGACACCUCCAGUAGAGGAGGACCAUAAUUAGUACUUCUUCUAAUGGGUGAAUGGUGGCUGCAAAUAUAACACUUGCAAAUCUUCAUGGUUGGAGGAUUUAUCCAAGGUUUUUAAUCAGACCCUGCCCUAAUGCAAAAUCUAUUUAAUUCUGAAAUAUGUAAUUAUUUUAAUUUCAUU